AUUGUUUUUCUGUUUCUUAAAACAAAAAGUGACUCAGAAAAAUCGUGAAAUCCAGGCCCAGUCCCGACUCCGGACUCCCGACUCCCGAAUCCCGACGCCCUAUCCUCUCUAUCUCCUUGUAGCUCUCCACAAGCUACAACUCUCUCGCGAAGCUCGACGACCGUCUCUGCUCUCUCGCGAAGCUCGACGACCGUCUCUGCUCACUCGCGAAGCUCAACAUUCUCUGCUCUCUUGCGAAGCUCGAAGUUUUCUUCUCUCGCAAAGCUCGGCGUCUCUCAGGUAUCAUUUCGAGCACUAAUUCAGAGAUCUGAUUUCAUCUCUGUAAUGGAAUGGAACCUGGAUUGGAUGCCGUUAGGGAUUUGCAUUGCAGUUUAAUGAACACUCACAUCUCUCACCUCUCUCUCUCUCUCUCUCUCUCUCUCACACACCUCUCGCUGCUCACGUUUUGUAUCGUCGCUCGGUCUCGUCAAUCUCACGAAGGAGAAAAUCAGUGACUAGCGCGCUCUCGGUCUCUCUUGCUGUUCACGCUGGUACUCUGUCUUCGCACUUGGGUUUGAUUGCUCUGUGCCGAAGCUCUGGGGUUGCAUUGUCACCUGGUUAGGGCUUGUAUCUAAGCCAGAAAUUUGUUAGUUAUUGAAUCAAAUCGUUGGCAGUGCAUUUCAUAUGUUUGAUAAAAUGAUGCAAAGCAAAGAGGAACAGCAGAGGGAGUUGAGAGCCCUCUCUUACCUCGUUCCUUCUAUUCAGCCAAUGUCUUAUAAAAGCCAUUAUCAGGGCUUCUGGGUUGAAGAUUCUUGGAUUGGAAGCCUUGAUAUAGAGUAACGGCAGAGGGAGUUUGUAAAGUACUAAGGAGUUCUACAAGGCAAUUCUUAUCAUUGCAGACGAAGAUGGGAAUUACUUGCAAGAAGCUUGGGAGCAUAUUUUGACAUGUGUUUCACGGUUUGAGCAUUUACAUCUCUUGGGGGAGGGUAUUCCUCCAGAUGCUACAUUUUUUGCAACUCCUCAGAGGCUCAAAAUGAGGGAGAAAAAUCAAGACAAGCCAUAUAAACAAUCCUUCCUGUUCUGAAGAAAAAGGGACCUGGGCGAGUUCAAUCUGGAGCUGCCAGAAGGGGUUCAUAUGAGAUAGUGCUGGUGUUGGUGGCUGUGCCUCUGGAGUCAGAAUGGCAGAAUUCUGUUUGGCAGAAUUUGUGAUGUAAUGCCUAGUAACUACCAAGAUAUCAAUCCAAAAUUGAAAGCUUCAAAAAAAGAUUGGAGGGAAGACUAGAAAAGGAAAAAGUUAAAAACUCCAUCAGCUCUUCGCAAAAGUUCUUGACUCAGAGAAUAGUGUGUAGGGUGGGUAUGGUAUGUAAGAGAUUGAGUUGAUUAGGAACUGACCUGAACAAGUUGACUCAUUGAUUUACUUUGAUCUUUAUCCCUUGAGUACAAAAUUGCAUCCGUGGAAAGUGGAGAUACAAUCUCCAAAGGAAGUGGGGAUAAAGAUGAUACUGCAUUAGAUGUGGCAUCAUAAGGAAAAUCAUUCUCAAUCUGUAUCGGCGGAUCAUCCACUUCAUUACCACUUUCACUGCAUCUGUUGCUGUAAAUCGCUCGGUCACGAAUAUCUCCCGCUUGUGACACAGAUGCAUUUUCAAUUUCAUCAAAUGUUUGUUGAGGUGUUACACCAUGUGUGAAACUGAGAGAAUGACUCCUCCAAGAACCUUUACUGCUCAUCCGACCAAAUGACCUUGACAGUUCUGGUCCAAUGCCAACAAUCCCAUCACUGUAGUGGCUAUCCAGAGAAGAGCUGCUAUGAGUUACAUGAUUCUGGCGAGUUUUCAUGGAGCUGUCAUCAUCAGGACCACUAGGCUUCAUCCUCCUAAUCAUCAAGACUUCAUUGCUCUAACUACAAGCACAAGUCAGAGAGGAGUAAGACAGAUAUCAAUGUUGAGGAUAAAUAUAGCAAAUCAAAUGGCUAUAUCGAAGGGAAUGCCUAUGAUUCCAAUUGAUGGACUUUGAUGUUUUGAUUUUAAUGACUUUAUGUUAGUUGCUACCAUUAAUGAUUUUAUGUUAGUUGUUAGAGUAUAUGUUACGUAAUAGAAAACUCUAUGUUCUAUUUACUUAUGUGACAUUUAAAAAGAUAUUCCCUAUUGAAUCUCUAUCACAUUGGGUUUUUUCAUUUUAA